rnacentral:misc_RNA from 1 species
AACAAUUAUCAUCUUCAGUUUUGAGAGACUUAAGAAAGUUUUUCAUUAUAACUUGCUUGCAAAUUGCAUUUGCAACAUUUUA